GACGAACGCUGGCGGCGUGCUUAACACAUGCAAGUCGAACGGAAAGGCCCUGCUUUUGUGGGGUGCUCGAGUGGCGAACGGGUGAGUAACACGUGAGUAACCUGCCCUUGACUUUGGGAUAACUUCAGGAAACUGGGGCUAAUACCGGAUAGGAGCUCCUGCUGCAUGGUGGGGGUUGGAAAGUUUCGGCGGUUGGGGAUGGACUCGCGGCUUAUCAGCUUGUUGGUGGGGGAGUGGCUUACCAAGGCUUUGACGGGUAGCCGGCCUGAGAGGGUGACCGGCCACAUUGGGACUGAGAGACGGCCCAGACUCCUACGGGAGGCAGCAGUGGGGAAUAUUGCACAAUGGGCGGAAGCCUGAGGCAGCAACGCCGCGUGCGGGAUGACGGCCUUCGGGUUGUAAACCGCUUUCGCCUGUGACGAAGCGUGAGUGACGGUAAUGGGUAAAGAAGCACCGGCUAACUACGUG
rnacentral:rRNA from 1 species